CUAGCUUAAUAUAAGCUAUGCACUGUUCAAUGCAAGGAAAGCCAUGCAAAUAACAGGCAUAAGCUUGUCACAUUUCUUUGUGUUGAACCCCAUACUCCUACAAUGAACGAGUUAGGUAUAAGAAAAACUCAAAGGCUGGUCGGGUGAGGUCAUCCAGAAAGAAAACAAAGUUGACCAUGUCACUGGAAGCAGACCAUAGUUUUGCUUAUCCUUUUAUGGCUUGUCUCUAGAGUUCAAAAUAAAGUCAAAUGGUUGCAAUCAAGAAUUUUCCCCAUUUGAUGGUGGAUCUUUAAACAUUUUUUGAUGCUAUAGUUAGAAUCUAAAGUGGUCGAGAGCACAUAAAGCCUGGUGGUGUUCUCUAGGCCUGUUUGUGAAUUAGGCAUAACACUAGCAAUUUUUUCUUCCAUAUUUCUAUUAUUAUAGUCUUUUGCAACUUUUGUAGGGUCUGAUUCUGAAUGUUCGUGGCUUUGUGCAUAGCUUUUAUUGGUGAAUACUGAAUAGUUUGUACAAGCUGCUCGAUGAAGAGUUGGUGGUAUCUGGCUUCUUACAUCUUGAUGGGACUGCUAUACAGAUUGACUUUGCUACACCGAAUAAGAGGCGGAAUGUCAUGAACUUCGUUUCAGUGUUGGAGUGUACUUCCAAGUCAAACCAAGCCUUGGAGUAUACCAAAUAGCAAGUGUCUGUUGUUGAUAGAAGCAUAGUGUUUAAAGAAAAGAUGACCAUAAGGUUGGACAUCCCUCUUCCUAUUAACAAUUUGUUCUUUUUAAUCUGAUUGGUUAAACCUUUCUAAAUCCUCGUUUUAACCCACUUCUCCGUGAUUCAAAGGUCAGUUGUGAAGCAUAGCAUGUUCAAGUAUUCAGAAAUCAACUGCAAAUCUGAAUCAUUUGGUCUGUGACCUGCUAGAUCUUUUAUAUCAACAAGACCUUAGAAUCUCAUCGGCUUCAAUAGUUUGUCUACAUCUGUAUACUAGUUGAAAUUUGCAUAAUCCAUGUAGUUCAUUGAAAAAAACUUCAUUCAGAUUUGGCCUUAUGAACAGUUCUGUCAUUCAAAAUACAUACAGUUCAAUAGUCAAUUUAAUUUUCCCUCAUUCCGCACUCUAGAAUGAAUGUCCUGAAUCAUCAUUUACUUAACAGGUAGUCUUGAUGAUUUGGUUGAUGCUAUCUCCUACUUGGUUUUUUAAUGGCAUCAAUUGUGUACAAUGUCUUUUAAUGCAUUGAACGGAAGAUGCUCGAUUCCUUUACUUACAAACAGGUCUGAGUUAUGAUGCUGUUUUGUAUAAUAGGGAACCUUCUAGAUUCAUCAGAUCAUGCACGUAUUAUCAUCAAACCUUGCAUAUUAUUUUCCAACAGUACUAUGUGAAAGAAUUAGUCAAGACAAGUUUUCCAACUUUUCCACAAAAGUGAAUACUUACUAUAAAAAAGAGAUUCUGAUUAAUAAACUUUCCAUGCUAAUGCACCGGCAAAGUUGGGUCCUGGAUUAAGUGGGUGUAGAGUGAAUUAUUACUUUUUUUAUGACAAUGGGUUAGGACUUUGGAUAAAUAUAUAUGAUUUUUUUAACUGCAUUCACACCUCGAGCUAGAAGCUGUUGAUGGGCCCCCGCCUGCACCUGCUGCCUUCAAUAUAGAUGUGCUCAUGCUCAAAAGUCUUAAGAAUUAAUACCGAGUGAAAAGUGUGGGAGAAGAGGAAAAGGUAUAGAAAAUUCAGCUAGUAGCUGCUGAAAAUUAGAACAUAACCUAUCCAGGAUAUGCAGCUGUCUGUUUAAAAUUCAUAAAUGUGAUUGUUUUGAGCUCGCACAAAAAUUGCUAUUGUGCUAAAUAUGAUUGAUAUGAGCUGUGAGCUUUAACAAACUCUACAACAACAAACCCAGUGACAAGCUUUAACAAACUCUGCUUUUCCAAAACAAAUUUCCAUUGAAAUCUGUUCUUUAAUUUUAUGGUCUGAAUUAUGUUUUGUUCAUUUUCUUUGUUUUUUCUUCUGUUCACAGGCUUAUUUCUUCUCUCUCUGUGGCACUGUUUUUGCCGAGGGUCUGCCUUGAACCGUUGAAAAGGUAACUUUGCAGAGGAAAAAACAGAAAUAGCAGAUCAUUAGGUUUUUCAAAUUAGUAGAAGAGAAACAAGACUUGACCCUAUCUGGGGAAGUUUCUUGCUAGUUAUAUGCAGUAUUCUCUCCACCAGGUUAAUCGACCGAUAUUAUAUCACUCUGUUGCAGUAGGUCUAAAUGACUUGUCGCAGAAAAGAUCAUCUGGGUGGGAUAUGUUCGAAAUUAACUUGAUUCAGAGAUAAAUACGGUUGACUGAUGAAAAAUGCAUGGAGAAAAUAGGUGAAUUUCAUUGAGUCCCAUGCCAUAACAUUAAAUGUUUGGCUAAUACAGUGUGACUAUCAAUAAAUAUUAAUCUUGCAUAGAAUGAUGCAACGGAAGCUUGUAAAUUGACUUAAUCACUUCUUCUUUACUGAGUAUAUCUUGUUUGUUUUUCCCUCUUCUUUCUACUGUUGCUUUGCCCUAAACUCCUUUGGUUCUUCUCCAACUACUGAUGCAAACUCUUUUUCUGGUUACUUUGCCUCUCUAUUUUUCAUUGUGAUUUAUUCUCAAGGCUUGUAUUUUGAUGUAUAGGGGGUUCGGAGGUUCGUAUCACAUUGAAUCAGCUGAAUGGUCUGCUGCAAAGCCUCAAGGAAAGAAGAGAGAGCAAAAAGAUAGGCUAAAGAACCUCGCAAGUAAGUGGUCUUCUUUCUAUUCUAUGGCCUUCAACUACUUGCUAAGAUUGGAUUGACCAACUCUAUAUGUACAUGCCAGCUCUGUGCUUGAUAGGCAGAGAAUAGGAAAGAGGGAAGAAAUGUCACCUCAAUUUUAACUCUGAAGGGACCUGAUCUACUGAAUAGCUUCUAACAAGGGAUAGAAUUUGCAAUUGGUUUACUCGCCUCAGAGACUGCAUUGAAGCUUCCAAGAUGGUUGAAUGCCUUCUGUUAUUUGGUGCCAAAAUCCAUUAGCUAUGCUGUUGUACCUCACAAGAAGGCCAAGAGGGAAUCCCUCUUGCUUAUCCCCAUCUAUCUCAUAUGAAUCCUAUUAUAUCUUCAGAAAGCAUGAACUGAUGAUUAACCAUGGUUUAAAUACUAUUCUCGGUUAGUUAUCAUGUUCUCUUAUAUGUGCAGAUUACCAACUGCAUGAUUUAGCCUAACUUGGUGCAGCUGGUGUUGCUUAGAAUGUUGUAAAUCUCAGACGUACGCAAGAGGCAACUGUAAUGUAACACUGCAUUACUGUUUUGAAUUUUUAACACAUUUAAAGAAGUUUUUUUGGUCCUUUUUGGCGUUUCACUUUUUUAGGCAUUGUUCUUUUUGCCAUUUUCACUGUUUAACUGGAUUGCAUAAGUAUAUGUAACAAAUUUUCUGGGUUGCUUUUAUGGAUGAAGUACCAGUGCUUUUCUAGGCUCAACAGCAUAUGCUGGCAUGAUGUAGAUUUGAUAAAGCAACUAUAAGAAACAGACUGUGUCAGUUUCCAUUAAGUAGUUUUCUG
rnacentral:lncRNA from 1 species